rnacentral:rRNA from 1 species
CAAUAGCGUAUAUUAAAGUUGUUGCAGUUAAAAAGCUCGUAGUUGGAUUUCUGGUGGGAGCGAUCGGUCUGGCGCUUAGCGCGAGUACUUGCAUCGUCUCCGGCCAUCCUUGGGGAGAGUCUGUCUGGCAUUAGGUUGUCGGGCAGAGGAUCCUCAUCGUUUACUGUGAAAAAAUUAGAGUGUUCAAAGCAGGCUUAUGCCGUUGAAUAUAUUAGCAUGGAAUAAUAAGAUAGGACUUUGGUACUAUUUUGUUGGUUUGCGCACCAAAGUAAUGAUUAAUAGGGACAGUUGGGGGUAUUCGUAUUCCGUUGUCAGAGGUGAAAUUCUUGGAUUUACGGAAGACGAACUACUGCGAAAGCAUUUACCAAGGAUGUUUUCAUUNA